rnacentral:rRNA from 1 species
AGAGUUUGAUCAUGGCUCAGGACGAACGCUGGCGGCGUGCUUAACACAUGCAAGUGGAGCGACGAGCAGGGCUUGCCCUGGGGCAGAGCCGCGAACGGGUGAGUAACACGUGGGUAACCUACCCCGAUGACCGGGACAACCCGAGGAAACUCGGGCUAAUACCGGAUGUCCUCGCUUCUCGUAAGGGAUUCGAGCAAAGAUAGCCUUCUGGCCUUCGCAUCGGGACGGGCCCGCGGCCCAUUAGCUUGUUGGUGGGGUAACGGCCUACCAAGGCUGCGAUGGGUAGCUGGUCUGAGAGGACGAUCAGCCACACUGGGACUGAGACACGGCCCAGACUCCUACGGGAGGCAGCAGUGGGGAAUCUUGCGCAAUGCGCGAAAGCGUGACGCAGAACGGCCGCGUGGGGGAAGAAGGCCUUCGGGUUGUAAACCCCUUUCAGUUGGGACGAAGCUUCGAGGGUUAAUAGCCCUCUGGAGUGACGGUACCUUCAGAAGAAGCCCCGGCUAACUACGUGCCAGCAGCCGCGGUAAUACGUAGGGGGCUAGCGUUGUCCGGAAUCAUUGGGCGUAAAGCGCGUGUAGGCGGUCCGGUAAGUCCGCUGUGAAAGUCGGGGGCUCAACCCUCGGAUGCCGGUGGAUACUGUCGGGCUUGAGUACGGAAGAGGCGAGUGGAAUUCCUGGUGUAGCGGUGAAAUGCGCAGAUAUCAGGAGGAACACCAAUUGCGAAGGCAGCUCGCUGGGACGUUACUGACGCUGAGACGCGAAAGCGUGGGGAGCAAACAGGAUUAGAUACCCUGUAGUCCACGCUGUAAACGAUAGGCACUAGGUGUGGGGGGUGUCGACUCCCUCCGUGCCGAAGCUAACGCAUUAAGUGCCCCGCCUGGGGAGUACGGCCGCAAGGCUAAAACUCAAAUGAAUUGACGG